ACAAAAAUUUUACUUAAGUUAUAAUUUUCACAGCAACUCGCUCUCUCUCAAACACUCUCUCUCGCGACUUUUUCAGAAACCCUCCCUCUCUCUCAACUCCCUUUCUCAUCUCUGAAACAGCAUCUCCAUGGCACCCUCUUCGUCACCGAGCUUGCUAUCCAGGUCACAGAUCUCACCUUCCAGUUCACCGAGGUCGCCAUAUCCUUGCUUCCAUGUCACUGAGGUCGCCAAAAGUAUCGUCUCCACGAUUUUCACAAGGAGGAGCAAGAAGCCCUUGCCAACCACAUGAACAACAUCAAGCGCAAUCUUCUCCCUCAUGUCGUUGAGGUCAACAACCAUCUCCUUGCACAGUCGUGGUCAAUGAGGGUUUCAGUAAGAGAUUUGGGGCUUUUGCUAUUUCAAAUCCCUAGUAUCCUUUUACUGGGGAUUUGGGCCAAACCUUUGAUUCAAACAAGACACUUGGCUCUCCAUGUAACAUCCAAUCAAUUCUAACUUGUAAAUACACUCCUCAGUACCAAUGGCUUGAGCAGGAGCUACCAAAAUUUAACAAGAGAGAGACACCAUGGUUGAUUGUCUUACUGUAUUCUCCAUGGUACAACAGCUACAACAGCUACAACUAUCAUUACAUGGAAGGAGAGACCAUGAGAGUCAUGUUUGAGCCGUGGUUCGUGCAGCACAAGGUUGACGUAGUGUUUGCUAGUCAUGUCCAUGCCUACGAACGAUCUCAUGACAGAUGCCAAUCAGUGUGAAGGUAGCUAGUGCAAGGGAAGGGGCCUAAAGAAAUAGUCUCAAGAAGAGUUUAUCAACAAGAACUGCAUUUGCUGCAUCUGAAGGGUAGUCGCUAAUGGAAGUGGUUCGAAUGAAGCUACUCCUAGCGUGGGGGAAGUAAUGUUGGUUCAAGCUGCUGUUAGUGGUAAAAGUGGAAGAAAUGCAGAGGAAAAUUGGCGAUGAUGAAGGCAUAGCUUUGUAUGCACAUGGAGAACUUGACUUGAAGGAUAAUUAGGUAUAUGAAUUUUGGUGUAUGAUUGUAAUUAGGCUUGCAGCUAGCGGCCCUAGACUACUUUCAUUUUAAAGAUUUUAUUUUGUUUUAUUGUACUCUUGAUAUUCUAUUUAUGAAAGUUACAAUU